rnacentral:rRNA from 1 species
UACGAAGGGGGCUAGCGUUGUUCGGAAUUACUGGGCGUAAAGCGCACGUAGGCGGACAUUUAAGUCAGGGGUGAAAUCCCAGAGCUCAACUCUGGAACUGCCUUUGAUACUGGGUGUCUUGAGUAUGGAAGGAGGUGAGUGGAAUUCCGAGUGUAGAGGUGAAAUUCGUAGAUAUUCGGAGGAACACCAGUGGCGAAGGCGGCUCACUGGUCCAUUACUGACGCUGAGGUGCGAAAGCGUGGGGAGCAAACAGG